UGACCCACGGGGCGCAGCAGUGAGGAAUAUUGGUCAAUGGGCUUACGCCUGAACCAGCCAAGCCGCGUGAGGGAGGAAGGUACAGAGUAUCGUAAACCUCUUUUGUCAGGGAACAAAGGCGGGGACGUGUCCCCGGAUGAGUGUACCUGAAGAAAAAGCAUCGGCUAACUCCGUGCCAGCAGCCGCGGUAAUACGGAGGAUGCGAGCGUUAUCCGGAUUUAUUGGGUUUAAAGGGGGCGCAGGCGGUCUGUUAAGUCAGCGGUCAAAGCCCGGGGCUCAACCCCGGCCCGCCGUUGAAACUGACG
rnacentral:rRNA from 1 species